CAGCUGCGCCCUCGCAUUAUAGGAGCUCCCUCCUCAGAAAUCCCUGCUCUAUGGGGGUUAAGUUUUAAGCUGAGCAGGUCUAGGGCACUUUGCUCUUCCUCUGACUGUUCCUUGCUGCAGGUUCCUUCCUGUCUGUUGCAUUUUCCUUUGAAGGAAAGGUUUUUUCCAAGCCCAUCAGCACUCGUGAGCAGCGAGAAAAGCCGAUCAAAUGACAACGUAUGCUCGGUAAAACAGCUGCUCCUUCUGCAGCCAGGAGUCCAGGGCUGGUUUAUUGCAAAAUUUCAUUGGAGUCCACUGGAAUUUUGCCUGAGAACAUACUUAUCUGAAGAUUAAGUAGAUCUUGCACUUACAAAAGUGCAUGCUCAUGCUGAAGGCAGACAAAGACCUUGGAGUUCCGAUAACACAGCAGCUCCAGUUAUUUAUUCAACUGUCCACCACGGCAGGAUUUUUUCCCCUGUUAAAUACAUAAUUCCCCACCUUUUUUUUUUUUUUUCUCCCCCCUUUUUGUCCCUUCUCUUAAACAAGAGAACCAGAGGGUGAAAGGGUUGAAGAUUAAAAUGUAAACAGCAAAAUUUAUUAUAA